AGAACAUGAAGUCUAGGAACCGGCAUGCGCAUAACCUCCGUAUAUAAAUGAUGCUGAAAAGCUGUUACGGUUUUUUUUUUUUAGGGUUCGGUGUUUUACUGUUGAGCUGCUCAGUGCCCAGCUUAGAGGACCAGGAAAAGGAGUCACCGGCCGUAUGCUGGAGGCUUGAGACACGGCACAGCGGCGCAGCUCGCCUCGCUAUGGUUGGUGGUGUCAGUGGAGAUUGCGAUUGCCGCGCGGCUGGAGGGUCCUUUAGGUUGUUUGAGGGACAUUCAUCAAGGAAACCGGAGAAACUUAAAAUGCUCUUCCGCUUCUUUGGAACAGUCACAGAGAAAAGUGAACUCCUUUCAUUCUUGCAGUAAUUUUUCUUGCUGAUGGGAACAGUUCAAGUCAAGUGACAUAACCUACUGGGUUGGUGACAUUUACAAGACAGAGUCUUGAGGAUUUUCCAGAACGGGAAAGAUUUUGAAAGAACAAAGAGGAACUACAGAAUCAUUGCUUACAUUGACACCGGCCCUGUUGUCCCAAUGGAUGGGUUUUUUUUGGAUGAACGUCAAAAUUGACCCUGCUGUUAAAGCUUGAAACUUGGAUCUGUUGUAUCUGAGUUCUCUCCUCAAAAAAAGACCUUCAGGAAGUAUCAGAUAACUGAAACAUACCAGAUCACAGCACCACAUGCCUCCUGCCCCUCCCUAAUUUCUGUUCUCUUAUACAUUGUUAAAUUUUUUUCCUGCCCCUAUUAGUCAAGCCCAUGGAUUUGAGACUGAGCUCCCAGCUCCUGGGCCGCAGCACCAGGUUAAAGCUUUCUUCCUUGGCAGUACUUGUCACCUCAGUGACUGGCUUUUUCUCCGAUGAGCAGGAGGACCUGGACGAAACCCCUAGUGUUUGGUCAAGGAACUUGAUGCUCCCUAAAUCCAAAUAUUACGGUUAAAAGAAGAGAGAGGAAAUGUGUGCAGAGAAAGUGUAUUUUACAAAUGAAUUAAAGGUGGAUUCUGAGUUACAGGUUUAUAGAUUUACCUAGAGUUUUGAGUUCAGGAAGCCAUCAUUCUUUAGAGGGCAAUGACCAAACAGUACCAGCAGAAAUUGAAGUACCAGCAGAAGGCUAAGAAGGGAUCAUGGCACAAGCUGCAGUUUCCACCCUGCCCAUUGAAGAUGAGGAGUCCAUGGCAGAUGAGGAGUCCGUUGAAGAUGAGUCUGUUGAAGAUGAGUCCGCAGAGAACAGGAUGGUGGUGACAUUGCUCAUAUCAGCUCUUGAGUCCAUGGAUCAUGGCACAAGUUGCAGUUUCCACCCUGCCCAUUGAAGAUGAGGAGUUUGUUGAAGAUGAGGAGUCCUUGGAGAGCAGGAUGGUGGUGACAUUCCUAAUGUCAGCUCUCGAGUCCACGGUCAGACCUUCUGUUCUCACAUUCUGUAGUUUGGUAGGACUGGGCAGUAGAUAAGGUUGAUUUAUUUUUGUAGAACUUACAAUUUUAUGAUUUUCAGUUGUAAUGAGUAGACCUUUUUCGUGAAUAGUAGUUAUGGUUAAACACCUCUAACCAAA
ensembl:lncRNA Novel transcript